ensembl:lncRNA
GACAGAUAGAUAGAUAGAUAGAUAGAUAGAUAGAUAGAUAGAUAGAUAGACAGACAGACAGACAGACAGAUAGAUAGACAGACAGACAGACAGACAGACAGACAGACAUACAGACAGACAGACAGACAGACAGAUAGAUAGAUAGAUAGAUAGAUAGAUAGAUAGACAGACAGACAGACAGACAGAUAGAUAGAUAGACAGAUAGAAAGAUAGACAGAUAAUCAGACAGACAGACAGACAGACAGACAGAUAGAUAGAUAGAUAGAUAGACAGACAGACAGACAGACAGAUAGAUAGAUAGACAGACAGACAGACAGACAGACAGACAGAUAGAUAGAUAGAUAGAUAGAAAGA